GAGGGUAUAACUCAAGUGGUAGAGUGAACGCUUAGCACGCAUAAGGCCCUGGGUUCAAUCCCCAGCAUCUCCU
rnacentral:tRNA from 1 species